UACGUAGGGUGCAAGCGUUGUCCGGAAUUAUUGGGCGUAAAGAGCUCGUAGGCGGUCUGUUGCGUCCGCUGUGAAAACUCGGGGCUUAACCCCGAGCCUGCAGUGGAUACGGGCAGACUAGAGGUAGGUAGGGGAGAAUGGAAUUCCCGGUGUAGCGGUGAAAUGCGCAGAUAUCGGGAGGAACACCAAUUGCGAAGGCAGCUCGCUGGGACGUCACUGACGCUGAGACGCGAAAGCGUGGGGAGCAAACAGG
rnacentral:rRNA from 1 species